rnacentral:rRNA from 1 species
UACGGGAGGCAGCAGGGGGGAAUAUUGCACAAUGGGCGCAAGCCUGAUGCAGCCAUGCCGCGUGUAUGAAGAAGGCCUUCGGGUUGUAAAGUACUUUCAGUCGUGAGGAAGGUGUUAAGGUUAAUAACCUUAGCAAUUGACGUUAGCGACAGAAGAAGCACCGGCUAACUCCGUGCCAGCAGCCGCGGUAAUACGGAGGGUGCGAGCGUUAAUCGGAAUUACUGGGCGUAAAGGGCACGCAGGCGGUUAAUUAAGUUGGAUGUGAAAUCCCCGGGCUUAACCUGGGAAUGGCAUUCAAGCUGGUUAGCUAGAGUCUUGUAGAGGGGGGUUAGAAUUCCAUGUGUAGCGGUGAAAUGCGUAGAGAUGUGGAGGAAUACCGGUGGCGAAGGCGGCCCCUGGACAAAGACUGACGCUCAUGUGCGAAAGCGUGGGGAGCAAACAGGGAUUAGAUACC